rnacentral:rRNA from 2 species
UGGAUCCAGAACUUUGAUUAUGGCUCAGGACGAACGCUGGCGGCGUGCUUAACACAUGCAAGUCGUACGAGACGAUUGAAAGCUUGCUUUUGAAAGUCGAGUGGCAAACGGGUGAGUAACGCGUAGACAACCUGCCGUAAAGAUGGGGACAACAGUCCGAAAGGACUGCUAAUACCGAAUGUUGUGGAACUUCCGCAUGGGAGCUCCACUAAAGAUGGCCUCUACUUGUAAGCUAUCGCUUUACGAUGGGUCUGCGUCUGAUUAGCUAGUUGGUGGGGCAACGGCCUACCAAGGCGACGAUCAGUAGCCGGUCUGAGAGGAUGAACGGCCACAUUGGAACUGAGACACGGUCCAGACUCCUACGGGAGGCAGCAGUGGGGAAUCUUCCGCAAUGGGCGCAAGCCUGACGGAGCAACGCCGCGUGAGUGAAGAAGGGUUUCGACUCGUAAAGCUCUGUUGUCGGGGACGAACGUGGAGAUGGUGAAUAACCAUUUCCAAUGACGGUACCUGACGAGGAAGCCACGGCUAACUACGUGCCAGCAGCCGCGGUAAUACGUAGGUGGCGAGCGUUGUCCGGAAUUAUUGGGCGUAAAGGGAGCGCAGGCGGGAGAUCAAGUCUAUCUUAAAAGUGCGGGGCUCAACCCCGUGAGGGGAUGGAAACUGGUCUUCUUGAGUGCAGGAGAGGAAAGCGGAAUUCCUAGUGUAGCGGUGAAAUGCGUAGAUAUUAGGAGGAACACCAGUGGCGAAGGCGGCUUUCUGGACUGUAACUGACGCUGAGGCUCGAAAGCGUGGGGAGCGAACAGGAUUAGAUACCCUGGUAGUCCACGCCGUAAACGAUGAAUGCUAGGUGUAGGAGGUAUCGACCCCUCCUGUGCCGGAGUUAACGCAAUAAGCAUUCCGCCUGGGGAGUACGGCCGCAAGGCUGCAACUCAAAUGAAUUGACGGA